AAGCUAACCUCUAUAUUCAACUGCAAGUGGCAAAUUAGCAGUCAGACAUUCAUGUCAACCUUAAAAAGUGAAAACAUUUAAUGAGAAUCUUACUAACAUAACUUAGAAGGAAAUUGUUCCUCUGAAACUGACUCAGUUCCACUCUUAAAUUGUUAUACAUCACUGAAUAUUCUCCAUAUUACCAUUAUCUACUAGCUCUAUUAUGUGUCAUAGAACUUUAGAGCUAUUCGAAGACAGAAUAUAAGAUUGAAAUGCUUGCAUAAUUCAUAAACUAUGUACCAGCCAUCCAUCAAAGCCCAA
rnacentral:misc_RNA from 1 species